rnacentral:tRNA from 1 species
GCCACCGUAGCUCAAUGGCAGAGCAGCGGUUUUGUAAACCGCAGGUUGACGGUUCGAAUCCGUCCGGUGGCU